rnacentral:misc_RNA from 1 species
GAGUUCGCCGGGGCAAAGCUCAAAGUGACUAAGAAUCCUGGCGAGACUCCGGUAAUGCACGUUCCUCGAAAGAAGAGCGUCAAGUCCAAGAGCUCAAAAGAAGAGGAUGAUUCCCUCGAGAUUGACCCUGAGCUCCGCUACAGUUUCCAACGCAAUUACCAGUUUCUUCAACGAGUAUUUAGCAUUGAUACGAUUGUGAAACCUCUUCCAC